rnacentral:rRNA from 1 species
GGUUAAGCGACUAAGCGUACACGGUGGAUGCCCUGGCAGUCAGAGGCGAUGAAGGGCGUGCUAAUCUGCGAUAAGCGCCGGUAAGGUGAUAUGAACCGUUAUAACCGGCGAUACCCGAAUGGGGAAACCCAGUGUGACUCGUCACACUAUCAUUAACUGAAUCCAUAGGUUAAUGAGGCGAACCGGGGGAACUGAAACAUCUAAAUACCCCGAGGAAAAGAAAUCAACCGAGAUUCCCCCAGUAGCGGCGAGCGAACGGGGAGGAGCCCAGAGCCUGAAUCAGCAUGUGUGUUAGUGGAAGCGUCUGGAAAGGCGCGCGAUACAGGGUGACAGCCCCGUACACAAAAGCGCAUGUGCUGUGAGCUCGAUGAGUAGGGCGGGACACGUGGUAUCCUGUCUGAAUAUGGGGGGACCAUCCUCCAAGGCUAAAUACUCCUGACUGACCGAUAGUGAACCAGUACCGUGAGGGAAAGGCGAAAAGAACCCCGGCGAGGGGAGUGAAAAAGAACCUGAAACCGUGUACGUACAAGCAGUGGGAGCACCCUUUGGGGUGUGACUGCGUACCUUUUGUAUAAUGGGUCAGCGACUUAUAUUCUGUAGCAAGGUUAACCGUAUAGGGGAGCCGGAGGGAAACCGAGUCUUAACCGGGCGUUAAGUUGCAGGGUAUAGACCCGAAACCCGGUGAUCUAGCCAUGGGCAGGUUGAAGGUUGGGUAACACUAACUGGAGGACCGAACCGACUAAUGUUGAAAAAUUAGCGGAUGACCUGUGGCUGGGGGUGAAAGGCCAAUCAAACCGGGAGAUAGCUGGUUCUCCCCGAAAGCUAUUUAGGUAGCGCCUCGUGAACUCAUCUCCGGGGGUAGAGCACUGUUUCGGCUAGGGGGCCAUCCCGGCUUACCAACCCGAUGCAAACUGCGAAUACCGGAGAAUGUUAUCACGGGAGACACACGGCGGGUGCUAACGUCCGUCGUGAAGAGGGAAACAACCCAGACCGCCAGCUAAGGUCCCAAAGUCAUGGUUAAGUGGGAAACGAUGUGGGAAGGCCCAGACAGCCAGGAUGUUGGCUUAGAAGCAGCCAUCAUUUAAAGAAAGCGUAAUAGCUCACUGGUCGAGUCGGCCUGCGCGGAAGAUGUAACGGGGCUAAACCAUGCACCGAAGCUGCGGCAGCGACGCUGAUGCGUUGUUGGGUAGGGGAGCGUUCUGUAAGCCUGCGAAGGUGGCCUGUGAGGGUUGCUGGAGGUAUCAGAAGUGCGAAUGCUGACAUAAGUAACGAUAAAGCGGGUGAAAAGCCCGCUCGCCGGAAGACCAAGGGUUCCUGUCCAACGUUAAUCGGGGCAGGGUGAGUCGACCCCUAAGGCGAGGCCGAAAGGCGUAGUCGAUGGGAAACGGGUUAAUAUUCCCGUACUUGGUGUUACUGCGAAGGGGGGACGGAGAAGGCUAUGUUGGCCGGGCGACGGUUGUCCCGGUUUAAGCGUGUAGGUGUGUGUUCCAGGUAAAUCCGGUUCACUUUAACACUGAGGCGUGAUGACGAGGC